rnacentral:rRNA from 1 species
ACGCUGGCGGCGUGCUUAACACAUGCAAGUCGAACGAUGAAGCUGGAGCUUGCUCUAGUGGAUUAGUGGCGAACGGGUGAGUAACACGUGAGCAAUCUGCCCUUGACUCUGGGAUAACUGCGGGAAACUGUAGCUAAUACCGGAUACGACACCUUGGGGCAUCCCGAGGUGUGGAAAGAAUUUCGGUCAAGGAUGAGCUCGCGGCCUAUCAGCUUGUUGGUGAGGUAACGGCUCACCAAGGCUACGAUAGCUAGGGGGCGUGAGAGCGUGGCCCCCCACACGGGUACUGAGACACGGACCCGACUCCUACGGGAGGCAGCAGUAAGGAAUAUUGGACAAUGGUCGAAAGACUGAUCCAGCCAUCCCGCGUGCAGGAUGACUGCCCUAUGGGUUGUAAACUGCUUUUAUAUGGGAAGAAUAGCAUAGAUUCAUCUGUGUAUGACGGUACCAUAUGAAUAAGCACCGGCUAACUCCGUG